rnacentral:rRNA from 1 species
UGGGGAAUCUUAGACAAUGGGGGCAACCCUGAUCUAGCCAUGCCGCGUGAGUGAUGAAGGCCUUAGGGUUGUAAAGCUCUUUCAGCUGGGAAGAUAAUGACGGUACCAGCAGAAGAAGCCCCGGCUAACUCCGUGCCAGCAGCCGCGGUAAUACGGAGGGGGCUAGCGUUGUUCGGAAUUACUGGGCGUAAAGCGCACGUAGGCGGACUGGAAAGUUGGGGGUGAAAUCCCGGGGCUCAACCUCGGAACUGCCUUCAAAACUAUCAGUCUGGAGUUCGAGAGAGGUGAGUGGAAUUCCGAGUGUAGAGGUGAAAUUCGUAGAUAUUCGGAGGAACACCAGUGGCGAAGGCGGCUCACUGGCUCGAUACUGACGCUGAGGUGCGAAAGCGUGGGGAGCAAACA